GGGUCUGUAGCUCAGGUGGUUAGAGCGCACCCCUGAUAAGGGAGGUCGGUAGUUCGAGUCUACCCAGACCCACCA
rnacentral:tRNA from 1 species